CGCAGCCACCCAAGGAAUACUAAACUAACCUCAACCUCAAGCGCCGAAGGACAUCACCCAGAGUCGACGGUACGGGGUAUAGGAAUUGGACGAAUUGGUGACUCAGAGAUCAAAGGGAAUCGUGAAAUACAAUUACAUGGUGGAUUGAGACGGAGAUCGGGACAGUUUAUUUUAUAAUACUCGUGACUGCGUCUGGAAGAAAUUAGGGAAUCGAGGAGACGCGUUAGACGUUUAACAUUGAUUGCACUGCUAUCGAGGUGAGUACGUAGAUGGUGGCCAGCUUCUCGAGGCGUGAGCGGUGUCCCCAUGGAUACAGUUGUGGUUUAUGGGUAGCAUAGGGUUUGAUUAUUAAAGACUUCCGCUUUGUUAAAUUUUAAAGACUUAUUAAUUAUCUCUCAAUGGAUUUCUAAAUGCAUUUUAUUCAUUUUUUUUGGGAUUAUAUUAAAUGAUU